rnacentral:SRP_RNA from 1 species
UAGGUAUAGUAUCUGGUGUGUUUGUAAACAUAUUCAUUAUGUCAGGAUCGUAAGAUAGCAGCAUAGAGUACUCGUUUAUAUCAGUAUUAGAUCUAUACCU